UAUAUCAGGAGUUCCCCGUGUGGCUCAGCAGGCUAAGAACCUAGCUAUUAUCCAUAAGGAUGCAGGUUUGAUCCCUGGCCUUGCUCAGUGGGUUAAAGAUCCAGCAUUGUUGUGAGCUGUGGUGUAGGUCACAUAUGUGGCUCAGAUCCCGUAUUGCUGUGGCUGUGGUAUAGGCUGGCAGCUGCAGCUCCAAUUUGACUCUUAGCCUGGGAACUUCCACAUGCCAUACAGAUGCCAGAAAAAAGAAUAGGAAAUACUGUCACUAACAGAAUUAGGAACGAAAAAUGUCAGGAUGAGUCCCAAAAUAAUAAAGACUCUGGGUACAAAUGAAAUGUAAGCUCUGCAUUUCGGCUCAAGAAAACAGCCACAUGAAGGCAGGGUGUGGAUGCUGGGCUGGUCACAGCACACCCACAGUCAGACUGACUGUGGUAUUUCACUAGAAACCCAUCAUGUAGAACGAGGUACAGUGGACAUAGUUCUGCUCUAAAUGGGCUAAGAGCACAGCCUUCAGGUCUGCACAAAUUCUAGAUGGUGGAGACUCAAAAUCACACUCCAGGGGCAGGUCAGAAGGAAUUCCAUGCAGAGAAGAGACAUACAGAGCCUAAGAGACACCUUCAAACAUCCGCUAGCUGUAACUCAGAAAUGGAUUUAGACUCCUACAAGCACUGGAAUAAGUGGGUGGAAAUUAUGGGUAGAUUUCAGUUCAAAAUAAGAAAGGUGCCCUGAGAAUGAUGCUUCCUUGGAGGGGGGCAGCACAACCUCACCACAGGGGUUAUGAAAGUGGAGGUUGGACAGCCCAGCAAGAAUGAUUUGGAGGGGUCCCAGUGUAAGUUGGGUAAUUAUAUAUCAGAUAGACUCUUAGAUCCCUUUAGCUCUAAGAUUUUACCAAAUGAAGAAAGAUUUGCCAAGUUUUUUUUCCCUGUCCUCUCUCUGCUUAGAAAAUGAUUACAUUCUUUUUUAGGCAAAUCACAUCUCACGGAUAUUCCUUUAUCCCAGUCUUUUUUCUCGCUGCAUUUCCUUUAGAAUAUGGACUAUUGCUAUAUCUUCAAGUUCACUCAUCUUUUCUUCUGCAGUGUCUAACCGGCUGUUACUGUCAUCCAAAAUGUUUUCCUUUCAGACAUUUUUUUCAGCUCUGUAAGUUCAAUCUGUUGUUGCUUUUUUUUUAAAAAAAAAAUCUUUGAUGUUUUACUUGAGCAUGCUCAUGUUUUCCUCUGCCAUCUUGAAAAUACAAAACAUAGUUAUUAAAUCUUUUAAUAUCCCUGUGUACUAAUUCUAUCAUAUGUUUCAUUUCUGGAUCAGUUUCAGUUGAUUGAUGUUUCUAUGGAUUUUAGUUUCUUGCUCCUUUGUAUGCUUGUUUUUUUUUUUUUGGGCUUUUUAGGGCCACACUCAUGGCAUAUGUAGGUUCCAAGGCUAGAGACUGAAUCAGAGCUGCAGCUGCUGGCCUAUGCCACAACCAACAUGGGAUCCGAGCCGCAUCUGCAGCCUACACCACAGCUCACGGCAACGCUGGAUCCCCAACCCACUGGGCAAGGCCAGGGAUCAAACCCUCAAUCCUCUGGUUCACAGUCGGAUUCAUUAACCACUGAACUAAGACGGGAACUCCUGACAUAUAUAUAUUUUUUUAAUUUAAAAAUGUUUUAUGGCCACACCUGCAACAUAUGCAAGUUCCCAGGCCAGAGGUCAAAUUGGAGCUGCAGCUGAGGUCUACACCACAGUCACAGCACCUCGGAGUCCGAGCCCCAUCUGUGACCUGCACCACAGCCUGAGGCAACACUGGAUCCUUAACCCAGUCUGGAGCGCAGCCAGAGAUCGUAUCCACAUCUUCACAGAGACCACGGUGGGUUCUUAACCCCCCGAGCCACAGGGGGAGCUCUAUGUCAUCUAGACACACUUACAGCUGGAUGAUACUCAGGACGGAAGCCAGCGGGCAGAAACGCCACACUCACCUGCACACAGCAGGACGGUGACACCAGAGUGCCUCGCCUGCUCAGGAUUCCCUGCCCCGAGCGCGUUGCCCACCCGGACGCUGGCUGCCACGCCAAAGCCAAGGGGCACCUAGGAAUGAACGAGCACAAGUCACGAGGAGAAGUGAGAGGAUCCCAACAUCCGAAUAUGUGGGUGCCCUGGAGUCUACCUGGAAGGCAGCCAGAGCCUGUCGGAGACCGGGGUUCUAGACCUGCUUCCAGCACGUCCUCUGCUGUGCGACUGGAAACAAACAGCUCGGCCCCACCCACCCAGGCUCUGCCCCGCACAGGCGGUGCCGACCGCCCUGGCCGCUGCCCACAUCCAGGGCAUCAGAGGAGAGCCUCGUCAAGGUGCCGGACCCGAGGACAAGCACCUCUUUGCUUAGCAAAACACAUUCUUUCGAAAGUCCACUCAGCCCCGUCUCACUCCACGAGAUGGAAUGGGCCACACGCAAGUAAGCAAGCUGUAAAAAUUAAGUGAACCGUGUGCCAAAGCACUUGGAACAAAGCCUGGCACCCUGGGGGAACUCCACGAAAAGUGAUGAAAUCUGACUCCGUCACACCUUGGGUGCCCAACUUUCCAUGUGUCUCAUUACCCGUUAAAUUGAACCACGUGGGAGUCCCCGUUGUGGCUCAGAGGAAACGAUUCCCACGAGCAUCCAUGAGGUUGUGGGUUCCAUCCCUGGCCUUGCUCGGUGGGUUAAGGACCCGAUAUUGCCGUGAGCUGUGCUGUAGGUCGCAAACACAGCUUGGAUCCCGCGUGGCUGUGGCUGUGGCGUAGGCCUGCACCUGCCGCUCUGAUUCGACCCCUCGCCUGGGAACCUCCAUGUGCCGCAGGUGCAGCCCUAAAAAAAUUAAUUAAUUGAAUCAUGUCCCUUCAGAUGCCAAAACCGUAUUAAUUCAUGAUUAUGAACAUCUGACGCUAUAAGCUUGCUUGCUGCUUAAACGAACCGUUCUUCCAGCUGCAGGCUCACCUCCUGGACCCCCUCCUGUUACCCUGCAACACAGCGCUGCCCUUGGAGGCUGUUUGUGAAACACUGGCUGUGUGAUAAUCUGGUUUUAGCGCCCACGUCUGCCUUCAGUAACUUAUACAUCAGCUUUCACUUCGUGUUCCCACUAGAAGCAGCCUCUUCCUGAGAGCUAAUUUGUUGCGGUUUGAGAACUAGCCUAAGUUGAUUUUUAAAAAAGUAUUAAAAAUGGUUAAGAUUAAGAACUGGAAAAACAAUGCACCUGGCGAUAUAAAAAUGUGCAAGAUUUGCAGACCCCAAGUACACAUUGUGGCUUCAGCUCAAAACGAAUGGCCCGUUCACACGCGGAACCCUCUUCUGUCCCCAAAUGCCACCAAGAUGUCCGUGAGGCUGUUUACCAGAAAAUGAACCCAUCAACAGCAGUGAGAGUAGAAACAGACCAGCUUCCGGAAGAGAAGCCCACAGGAAGCGGAAGUCCAGAACAGAGUCAGGAAAGGCCUGGUCCCUGUAUUCUUCGAGGGGGCGCCCAGGAGGCGGGAAGCUUCGACCCAGCACCGCAGCAGUCGUGAGCAGUGCUGGGGACAGACAGCUCGGCCAGGCCGCACUGCCCACUGCACCACCCUCUCAAGCUCCCUGCACAGGGCCUGGGCGACCUGAAGGCAGUUAUUUGUAUUCUUUGUGAGUCCACGUGAGGUCCUAGCAGUCAGUCACAGGGACAGAGGUGCUGGUGGCUGCCACCCUUCUCAGAAACAAAGACCAAAAGGGAGUUUCCAUUCUGGCUCGGCGGGUGAAGAACCUGACCAGUAUCCAGGAGGAUGCAGGUUUGAUCCUUGGCCUUGCUCAGUGGGUUAAGGAUCCAGUGUUGCCAUGAGCUGUGGUGUAGGUCGCAGAUAUGGCUCGGAUCCGGCGUUGCUGUGGCUGUGGUGUGGGCCGCACCUGUAGCUCCGAUUUGACCCCCAGCCUGGGAAUCUCCAUAUGCCGCAGGUGCAACCCUAAAAAGCAAAAAACAAACAAAC
rnacentral:lncRNA from 1 species